rnacentral:lncRNA from 1 species
CAGCCCUGUAGGAGACACCUCCAGAGAAAGUAACAGCUCUCAAUUGAUUAGCUGAGGAGACCGAUUUUGUAAAUCACUACUUUUCUAACAACACUGGCACAGAUGGCCAAGCAUUCUCCCUUUUCUCAGAGCUGGUUUUCCAUCCCGGAAAGAGGACUUACAUAUACAAAGUUACUCUAAUCAGUUGUGAAGACACCAGACAAAUGAGUUACACUGUUUUGGACUCCCCAACACAAUCCAGCCACCGGCUGAAUGCCACCAAAUUACCUUCUAGUUAAAGGUUUAUGGAGCAAACGAAUCACCUAUUCAAUAUCUGCUUGAAUUUCUGACUCAAAAUACAUCAGGUAUGUACUGUGUGACUUAAAUAUUGAGUUUAUUUUUAUCAAAUACCUGUCAAGAAAGAAAGUCAAUUCUGAAACAGCAGAAGCUCAAAGUUCUACAGAUGGCUUUCAAAGGAAUUUGAAUUAGACAUCAUUUGAUGUUGCAAAAAACAAUGACAUCUUUUAUAGCUCUAAACAUCAGUUUUUAAAUUAGA